CUUGAACCAUUGAGGGAGAACAGUAAAUAAGAAUACACAUGAAAAGAGAGGAAAUGCCUUAGGCUGAAAGCAUUUCUGCAUGAUGACUUAUUGAAAAACACUCCUUAGGUUUCUCUCUGAAAAACAGCUUGUUUAGUAGGAGCAGAACGUUGCAGGCGUUAACUGAUUGAGUGGGAAUAGCUUUGGCUAUUUCAACUAGGGUGGAACCACGGGUAUAACUCUCGUCCCUACA
rnacentral:ncRNA from 1 species